UACGUAGGAGACGAGCGUUGUCCGGAGUUACUGGGCGUAAAGGGUGCGCAGGUGGCGGCGCGCGUGGGGGGUGAAAUCGCCCGGCUUAACUGGGUGGGGGCCUUCCAGACGGCGUGGCUUGAGCAGCGGAGGGGGACGUGGAAUUCCGGGUGGAGCGGUGAAAUGCGUAGAGAUGCGGAGGAACACCGAUGGCGAAGGCAGCCCCCUGGGCUAGCACUGACGCUCAGGCACGAAAGCGUGGGGAGCAAACAGG
rnacentral:rRNA from 1 species